rnacentral:sRNA from 1 species
ACUUGGCUCUCGCCCUCCGGCCGGGAAGCAUGGGGCUUCCCAGGCUGGUCUGCGCCUUCUUGCUCGCCGCCUGCUGCUGCUGUCCUCGCGUCGCGGGUGUGCCCGGAGAGGCUGAGCAGCCUGCGCCUGAGCUGGUGGAGGUUGAAGUGGGCAGCACAGCCCUUCUGAAGUGCGGCCUCUCCCAGUCCCAAGGCGACCUCAGCCAUGUCGACUGGUUUUCUGUCCACAAGGAGAAGCGGACGCUCAUCUUCCGUGUGCGGCAGGGCCAGGGCCAGAGCGAACGUGGGGAGUACGAGCAGCGGCUCAGCCUCCAGGACAGAGGGGCUACUCUGGCCCUGACUCAAGUCACCCCCCACGACGAGCGCAUCUUCUUGUGCCAGGGCAAGCGCCCUCGGUCCCAGGAGUACCGCAUCCAGCUCCGCGUCUACAAAGCUCCGGAGGAGCCAAACAUCCAGGUCAACGCCCUGGGCAUCCCUGUGAACAGUAAGGAGCCUGAGGAGGUCGCUACCUGUGUAGGGAGGAACGGGUACCCCAUUCCUCAAGUCAUCUGGUACAAGAAUGGCCGGCCUCUGAAGGAGGAGAAGAACCGGGUCCACAUUCAGUCGUCCCAGACUGUGGAGUCGAGUGGUUUGUACACCUUGCAGAGUAUUCUGAAGGCACAGCUGGUUAAAGAAGACAAAGAUGCCCAGUUUUACUGUGAGCUCAACUACCGGCUGCCCAGUGGGAACCACAUGAAGGAGUCCAGGGAAGUCACCGUCCCUGUUUUCUACCCGACAGAAAAAGUGUGGUUGGAAGUGGAGCCCGUGGGAAUGCUGAAGGAAGGGGACCGCGUGGAAAUCAGGUGUUUGGCUGAUGGCAACCCUCCACCACACUUCAGCAUCAGCAAGCAGAACCCCAGCACCAGGGAGGCAGAGGAAGAGACAACCAACGACAACGGGGUCCUGGUGCUGGAGCCUGCCCGGAAGGAACACAGUGGGCUCUAUGAAUGUCAGGGCCUGGACUUGGACACCAUGAUAUCGCUGCCGAGUGAACCACAGGAACUACUGGUGAACUAUGUGUCUGACGUCCGAGUGAGUCCCGCAGCCCCUGAGAGACAGGAAGGCAGCAGCCUCACCCUGACCUGUGAGGCAGAGAGUAGCCAGGACCUCGAGUUCCAGUGGCUGAGAGAAGAGACAGGCCAGGUGCUGGAAAGGGGGCCUGUGCUCCAGUUGCAUGACCUGAAACGGGAGGCAGGAGGCGGCUAUCGCUGCGUGGCGUCUGUGCCCAGCAUAUCCGGCCUGAACCGCACACAGCUGGUCAACGUGGCCAUUUUUGGCCCCCCUUGGAUGGCAUUCAAGGAGAGGAAGGUGUGGGUGAAAGAGAAUAUGGUGUUGAAUCUGUCUUGUGAAGCGUCAGGGCACCCCCGGCCCACCAUCUCCUGGAACGUCAACGGCACGGCAAGUGAACACCACCAAGAUCCACAGCGAGUCCUGAGCACCCUGAAUGUCCUCGUGACCCCAGAGCUGUUGGAGACAGGUGUUGAAUGCACGGCCUCCAACGACCUGGGCAAAAACACCAGCGUCCUCUUCCUGGAGCUGGGUGAGGGCUGCAUCCCUGCAGGGAAUGGCAGGGGCAGGCCCAGGCACGGGCAGUAACUUGCGCUUCUCCUAACACCCCUCCCUCUGCCUCCUAGUCAAUUUAACCACCCUCACACCAGACUCCAACACAACCACUGGCCUCAGCACUUCCACUGCCAGUCCUCAUACCAGAGCCAACAGCACCUCCACAGGUAAGCCAGGCCUGGCAAGAGAACAGGGCUGUGCCAGGGCAUCCUUUCUGCCCUGUCCCUCCUCAGAGAGCCCUGUCCAGAAAGGUGAGUAGCAGCCCCAUCUUGUCGGCCCUAGACUGGCUGGGGCAACGAUGGUGACAUGGUGGCCUGGGGCAGGGAGUGACGAGGAGUGUCUUUGUGGCGCAGAGAGAAAGCUGCCAGAGCCGGAGAGCCAGGGCGUGGUCAUCGUGGCUGUGAUUGUGUGCAUCCUGGUCCUGGCGGUGCUGGGCGCUGUCCUCUAUUUCCUCUAUAAGAAGGGCAAGCUGCCGUGCGGGCGCUCAGGGAAGCAGGAGAUCACGCUGCCCCCGUCUCGUAAGAGUGAAUUUGUAGUUGAAGUUAAGUCAGAUAAGCUCCCAGAAGAGAUGGGCCUCCUGCAGGGCAGCAGCGGUGACAAGAGGGCUCCGGGAGACCAGGGAGAGAAAUACAUCGAUCUGAGGCAUUAGCCCCGAAUCACUUCAGCACCCUUCCCUGCCUGGACCAUUCCCAGCUCCCUGCUCACUCUUCUCUCAGCCAAAGCCUCCAAAGGGACUAGAGAGAAGCCUCCUGCUCCCCUCACCUACACACCCCCUUUCAGAGGGCCACUGGGUUAGGACCUGAGGACCUCACCUGGCCCUGCAAGGCCCGCUUUUCAGGGACCAGUCCACCACCAUCUCCACGUUGAGUGAAGCUCAUCCCAAGCAAGGAGCCCCAGUCUCCCAAGCGGGUAGGAGAGUUUCUUGCAGAACGUGUUUUUUCUUUACACACAUUAUGGCUGUAAAUACCUGGCUCCUGCCAGCAGCUGAGCUGGGUAGCCUCUCUGAGCUGGUUUCCUGCCCCAAAGGCUGGCUUCCAUCAUCCAGGUGCACCACUGAAGUGAGGACACACCGGAGCCAGGCACCUGCUCAUGUUGAAGUGCGCUGUUCACACCCGCUCUGGAGAGCACCCCAGCAGCAUCCAGAAGCAGCUGCAGUGUUGCUGCCACCUCCCUCCUGUCUGCCUCUUCAAAGUCUCCUGUGACAUUUUUUCUUUGGUCAAAAGCCAGGAACUGGUGUCAUUCCUUAAAAGAUAUGUGCCAGGGCCGGGUGCGGUGGCUCACGCCUGUAAUCCCAGCACUUUGGGAGGCCGAGGCGGGCGGAUCACAAGGUCAGGACAUCGAGACCAUCCUGGCUAACACGGUGAAACCCCGUCUCUACUAAAAAUACAAAAAAAAUUAGCCGGGCAUAGUGGUUGGCACCUAUAGUCCCAGCUACUCGGAAGGCUGAAGCAGGAGAAUGGUGUGAAUCCAGGAGGUGGAGCCUGCAGUAAGCCGAGAUCGUGCCACUGCACUCCCACCUGGGUGACACAGCGAGACUCCGUCCCGAGAAGAAAAAAAAAAAAAAAAAAGAAA